CCGUGAGGUCCACUACGGGGGAGUGUUGCCUUCCUGUGAAGCAUCUGUAGAUGGGCCUUUCCGGGAAGCAGGACUUCAGACUCGAUUAACUGUGAUCUUUCCAGGUAGAUAUUUCCAAUCUUGCGGGAGACCUGGUGAGUUCAAGAGGUCCAGAGUUCUUGAGUCAGGAUUGCCCAGCAGAAAGUGUUUCCUAUAAACAACCACACACCUCUCUCAUGAGAGAAGAUGGCCAAUGCCAAGGUAAUACUAAAGAAAGGGGAUAUAUUCAGAGUGCA